UUAAGGUCUAACCUGCCCAAUGAUUAUUUAAAUGGCCGCAGUAUUUUGACUGUGCAAAGGUAGCAUAAUUAUUAGUUUCUUAAUUGGAAGCUUGUAUGAAAGGUUGGACGAGAUAACAACUGUCUUUAUUUAAUUAAUAUAGAAUUUAACUUUUAAGUUAAAAGGCUUAAAUUUAAUUAAAAGACGAGAAGACCCUAUAGAUCUUUAUUUUUGAAUUGAUUUAUUUAGUUAGGAUUAUUUAAAAAUUAAUUAAUUUAAAAAUUUUAUUGGGGUAAUAUGGAGAUUAAUUGAAUUCUUUAUUUUAAAAACAUUUAUUUAUGAAAAAUUGAUCCGGUUUUAUUGAUUAUAAGAUUAAGUUACCUUAGGGAUAACAGCGUAAUUUUUUUGGAGAGUUCUUAUCGAUAAAAAAGUUUGCGACCUCGAUGUUGGAUUAAAAAUUAUUUUGGGUGAAGAAGUUCAAAAAUUUAGUCUGUUCGACCA
rnacentral:rRNA from 1 species